CUUGUCCCGGAUGGCCCACACUACGCAGGAUGGCAGCACACGCCUAUCUCCCUCUUCGAGGCGCCCCCAAAGCCACGAUGCACAUUGUUUCAAGGAAAGUGUUUGACGAUCACACAAGAAGCAGCACAAUUUGAGAUAAGACAUGUAAGAACAAACUCAAGAAAAAGAAUGCAUAGUG